CUCUCUCUCUCUCUCUCUCUCUCUUUCUUUCUCAAAACUUAGUGUGUACCAGAAUGACCCAAAGGACAUGGUAAAUUACCAUAAACUCCUGUGUUUCCCAUUCCAAAGGAGAGCUGUAUAGAAUUCCUGGCAAGAUUUCAGGCAAUGCUCCGAGUCUUGGGACUAAAAUGGUGAGAAGCACUGGUCUAGAACAUAUUCUAACCAACCACACUAAAAAUUCCCUUAGUCUCUUGGCAGACUUGGGUAAGUUAAAGGAAGAGAGUGAUGGAGUUAAACAGGAUGGAAAGAAUCAGAAAUGCCCUGACUUGAUUGGCAAGGCCACACACAGAAAUGGUGGAAACUGCAAAGUCCAGAUACUCCUUUCUGUUUUAGUGGAAUUUAUCUUUGCUUAGCUCUGUAAAAGAGCGAAACUGACAUUUAUAUGAUGGCAAACUAUAAGACAUCAUUGCCAGCAUGAACAGUUCUGAAUACACAGUAUUAUUUUUAAAUGUUUCAGACACCCUGGGAGUGAGUGCAGAAAACCAGAUUCAUUAUCUAAAUAAUAUGAAGAAAGGGAUUCCAGAUUGUACACUUGGCACAAAGACACCCCUGUCUACUAAAGCAGGUUAGAAGACACAGUGUAAGGCAGCAGCGACUCUUUUAAGGAAAGAAAAAUGUAUGAAAACAUUUUCACAAAUAUUUUCAGAUCUAAAUAUCCCUACCAUUAUGAACCAAUGCAGUUGAAAACACAGGUUAUUUCAUUUGAGAACAUUUCCUACUCACCAAGGAAAGACCUCCAAUAACUAAGGAUGAUGAUGGCCUUGGUGUUUAAAGGCAUCUGGCAGAUGGAGAACUGCUUCGGCAUUCCUCAUCCCACUAAAUGCUUGCAGAUGACUUCCAUAUUCUGCAGCAUCUGUUGG